rnacentral:rRNA from 1 species
GAUGGUAGUGACGGAUCGCGCAGGUUCGUAUCCCCUUAUUGGAUUGGGGGUGCGAUGAGCCGGUUCCAGGAAAUAGCUCCAUCGACAUUGACCGUACCCUAAACCGGCACAGGUGGACUGGUAGAGUAUACCAAGGCGCUUGAGAGAACUAUACUGAAGGAACUCGGCAAAUUGCAUGCGUAACUUCGGGAUAAGCAUGACUUCUACGGAGGCAACUCUGUAGGAGUGGCACAAAAGAGGGGGUGGCGACUGUUUACUAAAAACACAGGGCUCUGCGAAGUUGCAAAACGACGUAUAGGGUCUGACGCCUGCCCGGUGCCGGAAGGUUAAAUGGAGGGGUUAACGCCCUGAAAUGAAGCCCCGGUAAACGGCGGCCGUAACUAUAACGGUCCUAAGGUAGCGAAAUUCCUUGUCGGGUAAGUUCCGACCUGCACGAAUGGCGUAACGACUUCCCCACUGUCUCCAGUAUAGACUCAGCGAAAUUGAAUUCCCCGUGAAGAUGCGGGGUUCCUGCGGUCAGACGGAAAGACCCCAUGCACCUUUACUAUAGCUUUACGCUGGCAUUUGUGUCGGCAUGUGCAGGAUAGGUGGUAGGCUUUGAAGCAAGGACGCUAGUUCGUGUGGAGCCGCAAGAUGAGAUACCACCCUUAUCGUCAUAGAUGUCUAACCGCGGCAUAACAGUGUCCGGGACAGCGUAUGGUGGGUAGUUUGACUGGGGCGGUCGCCUCCCAAAGAGUAACGGAGGCGCGCGAUGGUGGGCUCAGACCGGUCGGAAAUCGGUCGACGAGUGCAAUGGCAUAAGCCUGCCUGACUGCGAGACUGACAAGUCGAGCAGAGACGAAAGUCGGUCAUAGUGAUCCGGUGGUCCCGCGUGGAAGGGCCAUCGCUCAACGAAUAAAAGGUACGCUGGGGAUAACAGGCUGAUAAUGCCCAAGAGUCCAUAUCGACGGCAUUGUUUGGCACCUCGAUGUCGGCUCAUCACAUCCUGGGGCUGGAGCAGGUCCCAAGGGUAUGGCUGUUCGCCAUUUAAAGUGGUACGUGAGCUGGGUUUAGAACGUCGUGAGACAGUUCGGUCCCUAUCUGCCGUGGGUGUAGGAAUAUUGAGAAGAGCUGACCCUAGUACGAGAGGACCGGGUUGGACGAACCUCUGGUGGACCUGUUGUGGCGCCAGCCGCAUUGCAGGGUAGCUAAGUUCGGACGGGAUAACUGCUGAAAGCAUCUAAGCAGGAAGCCUCCUUCAAAACUAGUAUUCCCUUGAGAGCCGUGGAAGACCACCACGUCGAUAGGCCGGGUGUGGAAGCGUGGCAAUAUGUGAAGCUUACCGGUACUAAUAGCUCU